rnacentral:rRNA from 1 species
GGCGGACGGGUGAGUAACGCGUAGGAAUCUACCUAAUGGUGGGGGAUAGCCCAGGGAAACUUGGAUUAAUACCGCAUAAGUCCUAAGGGAGAAAGCGGGGGAUCUUCGGACCUCGUGCUAUUAGAUGAGCCUGCGUAAGAUUAGCUAGUUGGUGAGGUAAGAGCUCACCAAGGCGACGAUCUUUAGCUGGUCUGAGAGGAUGAUCAGCCACACUGGGACUGAGACACGGCCCAGACUCCUACGGGAGGCAGCAGUGGGGAAUAUUGGACAAUGGGGGCAACCCUGAUCCAGCCAUGCCGCGUGUGUGAAGAAGGCCUUCGGGUUGUAAAGCACUUUCAGCAGUGAGGAAAGGUUACAGAUUAAUACUCUGUAGCUGUGACGUUAACUGCAGAAGAAGGACCGGCUAACUCCGUGCCAGCAGCCGCGGUAAUACGGAGGGUCCGAGCGUUAAUCGGAAUUACUGGGCGUAAAGCGCGC